rnacentral:rRNA from 1 species
GAGUAUGGAAGGGAACCGGGCGAACUGAAACAUCUAAGUAGCCCGAGGAGAAGUAAUCAAACGAGAUACCCCAAGUAGCGGCGAGCGAACGGGGCAGAAGCCCAAACCGGAGAAGGAAACUUUUCCGGGGUUGAGGACCGUCACACGAAAAGGACGCCUAGCCGAAUCUCCUGGGAAGGAGAGCCAUAGGAUGUGAAAGCCAUGUAAGCGAAAGGCUGAGAAGGACAGACGGCACCAGAGUACCGCGGGACACGAGAAACCCCGUGGGAAGCCGGGGGGACCACCCUCCAAGGCAAAACACAGAUAUCGACCGAUAGCGCAUAGUACCAUGAGGGAAAGGUGAAAAGCACCCCGGGAGGGGAAUGAAAGAGAACCUGAAACCGUAUGUUUACAAGCAGUCGGAGACCGCUUAAUAAUAAGGUCGACGGCGUGCCUAUUGAAGAAUGAACCGGCGAGUUAUGAGGUCCAGCAAGGUUAAGCAGGAAAUGCGGAGCCGAAGCGAAAGCGAGUCUUAAUAGGGCGGAAAGUUGGAUUGCAUAGACCCGAAACCACAGUGAUCUACCCAUGUCCAGGCUGAAACACAGGUAAAAAUGUGCGGAGGGCCGAACCUAUAUCCGUUGAAAAGGGUUAGGAUGAGGUGUGGGUAGGGGUGAAAUUCCAAUCGAACGUGGAGAUAGCUGGUUCUCCCCGAAAUAGCUUUAGGGCUAGCCUCAGGGUGAGAUUGCAGGCGGUAGAGCACUGAUCAGGAGAGGGACCUACCCGGUUACCAAACCCAGUCAAACUACGAAUGGCUGCAAUUAUACCUGGGAGUCAGACUACGACUUAUAAGGGCCGUGGUCAAAAGGGAAACAGCCCAGAUCAUCAGCUAAGGUCCCAAAUGCCGUGCUAAGUGGCGAAGGAUGUGGCGUUUCAUAAACAACCAGGAUGUUGGCUCAGAAGCAGCCACCAUUCAAAGAGUGCGUAAUAGCUCACUGGUCGAGAGACGCUGCGCCGAAAAUGUCCGGGGCUCAAGCACGGAACCGAAGCUAUGGCAGAUAGCAAUAUCUGGGUAGGGGAGCGUACUUAACAGGAAGAAGCAUAACCGUAAGGAUAUGUGGACAGUUAAGCAGUGAGAAUGCCGGUAUGAGUAUCGAAAAGAAAGGUGAGAAUCCUUUCCACCGAAAGCCCGAGGGUUCCUGAGCAACGAUCGUCGACUCAGGGUAAGUCGGGACCUAAGCCGAGGCGGAGACGCGUAGGCGAUGGACAACAGGUUGAAAUUCCUGUACCGGAUAGAAUCGUCUGAGCAAUGGAGCGACGCAGGAGGGCACAUGAUCGCGCGGCUGGAAGAGCGCGUCCAAGUGCGUAUGUAGGUAAGGAGGCAAAUCCCCUUACCUGAAAGCAGAGACAUGAUGGGGAGUUAAAGGAAACUUUGACGAACUCAUGGAUCCCACACUGCCAAGAAAAACUUCUAGCGAGAGACUAUCCGCCCGUACCGUAAACCGACACAGGUAGGCGGGGAGAGAAUCCUAAGGUGCGCGGGAAAACCCUCGUUAAGGAACUCGGCAAAUUGCAUCCGUAACUUAGGGAGAAGGAUGACCCUGAAUAAGCGAAAGCCAGAAACGGCUGGAACAGAAAAGGGUGGCAGAAAAGAGGCCCAAGCAACUGUUUACCAAAAACACAGGUGCCUGCGAAAGCGCAAGCUGAAGUAUAGGUGCUGACGCCUGCCCGGUGCUGGAAGGUUAAGGAGAGAGGUCAGCGCAAGCGAAGCUUUGAACUGAAGCCCCAGUGAACGGCGGCCGUAACUAUAACGGUCCUAAGGUAGCGAAAUUCCUUGUCGGGCAAGUUCCGACCCGCAUGAAAGGCGUAAUGAUUUGGGCACUGUCUCAACGAGGGGCCCGGUGAAAUUGAAAUACCUGUGAAGAUGCAGGUUACCCGCGACUGGACAGAAAGACCCCAUGGAGCUUCACUGCAGCUUGAGAUUGAAUCGCGGUGACAGAUGCACAGGAUAGGUGGGAGGCUUUGAAGUAAUGCCUUUGGGUGUUACGGAGCCAAUGUUGGGAUACCACCCUUCUGUUGCUGCGAUUCUAACACGGAGACUAACAACCUCGUGGACCAUCUCAGGCAGGCGGUUUGACUGGGGCGGUCGCCUCCGAAAGAGUAACGGAGGCGCCCAAACAAGUCGAGCAGAGACGAAAGUCGGGCUUAGUGAUCCGGUGGUACUGAGUGGAAAGGCCAUCGCUCAACGGAUAAAAGCUACCCUGGGGAUAACAGGCUAAUCUCUCCCAAGAGUUCAUAUCGACGGGGAGGUUUGGCACCUCGAUGUCGGCUCAUCACAUCCUGGAGCUGGAGUAGGUUCCAAGGGUUGGGCUGUUCGCCCAUUAAAGUGGUACGCGAGCUGGGUUCAAAACGUCGUGAGACAGUUUGGUUCAUAUCCAUCGCGGGCGCAAGAAGUUUGAGGGAGGCUGCUCCUAGUACGAGAGGACCGGAGUGGACGGAUCAACGGUGUACCAGUUGUCGCGCCAGCGGCACGGCUGGAAAGCCGCAUCCGGAAAGGAUAAACGCUGAAAGCAUCUAAGCGUGAAGCCCGUCCCGAGAUGAGACUUCU